GACGAACGCUGGCGGCGUGCCUAAUACAUGCAAGUCGAACGAACCGCGACUAAGUGCUUGCACUAAGUCAAGGUGAGUGGCGAACGGGUGAGUAACACGUGGGUAACCUACCUCAUAGUGGGGGAUAACAGUCGGAAACGACUGCUAAUACCGCAUAGGACAUAGGAUCACAUGAUCCAGUGAGGAAAGGUGGCGCAAGCUAUCGCUAAGAGAUGGACCCGCGGUGCAUUAGCUAGUUGGUAGGGUAAAGGCCUACCAAGGCGAUGAUGCAUAGCCGACCUGAGAGGGUGAUCGGCCACAUUGGGACUGAGACACGGCCCAAACUCCUACGGGAGGCAGCAGUAGGGAAUCUUCCGCAAUGGACGCAAGUCUGACGGAGCAACGCCGCGUGAGUGAAGAAGGUCUUCGGAUCGUAAAGCGCUGUUGUUAGAGAAGAACAGCGCAUAGAGUAACUGCUAUGCGUGUGACGGGAUCUAACCAGAAAACCACGGCUAACUACGU
rnacentral:rRNA from 1 species